AACGUCACAUGAUCUCAAAUUUGAACAGCGUCACUGAGUCAGUCUGGGCGCCAAAGUAAUUUACUUCACUGCAGCCGGUUUGGGAUUUAACAGCUCUUUGGUUCACUACAUUAUCUUUUAUUUACUUUAAAGGAUUUUCUUUUUAAGAGUAAUCUCGUCGAGUUCUUGUCUGUUUUUGCUGGUGUAAAGUUGUCAGACGGUAUCAUAGAUGGACUAUCUGACAUCCUACAGCUUGCUAACUUCACCAGCUAACAUUUAACUGCAGAGUCCUUUGAAAUAAAGGACGCAAGGAACUCGGAACAUUCAGAAAUGAGCACUGGAAGAUACGGGAGACCACAAAGACGUCUGUUCAACGGAUAUUUUUUGCAGUGUGGACAGUUAACUUCUUGCAGCGUGGUGAGGAGUAACGUUAACGUUAGCCGUCGCCCGAAGCAGCAGCAGCAGGAGGUGGCACCGACAUCAGCAAGUGAUCACUGACGAGCACUCCCACUGAUGCCAGAGUCCAGUCUCUCCAUCAUCCCAGGUCUCACAGUGCAAGGAGAACCUGAACCUGAGAUCCUGUGUGCAACCAAAAGGAUGCUGCUGAUGGAGACCUGACUUCACCACCACUCUGGCUGUCCUCUUCACAUCUUGCUAUAGGUUCACAGUUGAAUGUCAGGAGGACACAAUGACAUCACUGGAGUCUGUUCAAAAGUAGCUGUCAUCCAAUUUGCUGAAGAACACAAAGCAGCAGUGGAGAAUCAAAGUGAAAUCACCCGGCGGCUCCUGACCUGCAUCCAAAGCCUUUUGGGCCAGUGGACUUGUGAUGCAAAGUGGACUGAGGUGGGCUGUUGGACUCUUUACAGACAAGUAAGCAUCCACAAAUACCAUUUUAAAGACUCUAUGGACACCUGAGUACCUGGUGACAUCUCCCACAGUUGAAAAUGCAUGUUUAGAUUACCUAAGAGUGUUUUGUUUCAAGGAAAUAACAGUGUCUAGUGUCAGUGUCUAUAUAUCAAGUUCAGUUAUUUGAUUUUGUUUUUUUUGUUUGUUUUUUUUAACUUGUAGUGGGCUUAUUAAAUGGCAUCUGUAUUAUUUUUUCAGUAGGAUUUGUUUAACUGUGGUUACAGAUUUAAACAAUUUUUAACGUUGUCAUUGUAAUAUUUGCUAAUGUUUGUAAUAUACACAUUUGAAAACUUUGUUAUAGAAUGAUAUUUAGAGGACAGAAAGUUGCAUAUGGCCCCUGCUUUUAUGGCAAACACUGAAAAGUAAACAUUUAUUUUCUUCAUUCUUAUUUUCUAUAUAUUUAUUUACUGUGUUAAGUUGAUGCCCAUGCAGUCCAAAUAUUUCCUGCGUUUGCUACUUCACAUUAAAAGCUUCUCAGUGGUGUACCACUGUGUGGCUUUUAUUAUGAAGCAUGUACAGGAAAUGUAAAACAGACUGCAGUAUUCGUCAGAAGACAUUGGUCUAUGCAAAAUGUUUUGUGCUGUUUGGUCAGCAGAUCAGUUCUAUAUAUUGCAAAGGAGAAUUGGUAAAAGAGGAAACAGCUGAAGUGAGCUGGUAGACGUAGAACUGCAGGCAACAGGCUCUUUUACUACAGUUUAUGUCAUUAAGGGUAAACAACUUCUGUUCUGCUGUCCUGUCUGAGGGAAAACCAUUUGCACUGUGCAUCACAGAUAUAAUUGCAGUGUGGGUAUUUCUGCCAUAUGGAAGAAGGCCAUUAUUCUGAUAUGAUUUCUGUAAACAUGGUGCACAAUCCCUGUGCACAGUGAAAAUAAGUAAUAAGUAAAAUGCAGUAGUUGCUGUUCAACAGAUAAUAAAUAAUUGUCAUUUAAA